AACGAACGCUGGCGGCGUGCUUAACACAUGCAAGUCGAACGGGACGGCCCUGCUUUUGUGGGCUGCUCGAGUUGCGAACGGGUGAGUAACACGUAAGUAACCUGCCCUUGACUUAGGGAUAACUUCAGGAAACUGGGUCUAAUCCCGGCUAGGAGCUACUGCUGCUUGGUGGGGGUUGGAAAGUUUCGGCGGUUGGUGAUGGACUCGCCGCUUAUCAGCUUGAUGGUGGGGUAGUGGCUUACCAAGGCUUUGCCGGGUAGCCGGCCUGAGAGGGUGAGCUGACACACUGCGCCUGAGAUGAGGCACAGACUCGACUCGGAGGCAGGGGUGGAGAAUAGAGCACUAUAGGCGGAAGCCUGAUGUAGUAAAGCCGCGUGCGGGAUGACGGGCUGGGGGUAGUAUUCCGCUUUCGUCUUAGACGAAGCGUUAGUGACGGUAAUGGGUAAAUAAGCACCGGCUAACUACGUG
rnacentral:rRNA from 1 species